rnacentral:rRNA from 1 species
AGUGAACGCUGGCGGUAGGCCUAGCACAUGCAAGUCGAACGGCAGCAUAGUAAGAGCUUGCUCUUACGGGUGGCGAGUGGCGGACGGGUGAGGAAUACAUCGGAAUCUACUUUUUCGUGGGGGAUAACGUAGGGAAACUUACGCUAAUACCGCAUACGACCUACGGGUGAAAGCAGGGGAUCUUCGGACCUUGCGCGAUUGAAUGAGCCGAUGUCGGAUUAGCUAGUUGGCGGGGUAAAGGCCCACCAAGGCGACGAUCCGUAGCUGGUCUGAGAGGAUGAUCAGCCACACUGGAACUGAGACACGGUCCAGACUCCUACGGGAGGCAGCAGUGGGGAAUAUUGGACAAUGGGCGCAAGCCUGAUCCAGCCAUACCGCGUGGGUGAAGAAGGCCUUCGGGUUGUAAAGCCCUUUUGUUGGGAAAGAAAAGCAGCAGGUUAAUACCCCGCUGUUCUGACGGUACCCAAAGAAUAAGCACCGGCUAACUUCGUG